CCAGGGGCCCCUUGGUAUAGAAGUACAGCUCUCACCAGGAAAUGGAAACCUCACAUGGGACAGGGUGACUUCUAGGAUUGGGCUCAGAACCAGAUCUGGGGGUUCCCCAAGUCUGGAGGCUCAAGAGGCAGUUGGUAAAGGAACCCCCAAACUGUCAGAAACACAGAGAGUGAAUAAGGCCCAGGAAGUGAGGUGACAUGGGGGAGGGAGGGCUGGGACCUGUCACUUGAAGGCUGAGGCACUUUCCUUUGGCCCCGUUGCUGGAAACUUCAGCAGCUGGCUGGCGCCCAGGCCCAUCUGGACAAGAGCCCCUUUCCACAGAGAGCUCGCUCCAAGAAGGGGCCACUAUGCCUUUGGGGAAAACUCCAAGAGCAGUUUCUGUGUUGGGGGCCUGCUUCCUGUGUAUGAAGAAUGUGAGUUUCUUUUGAUAAUUUAAUGUUCAUAUUGUAGUUUAGAUGGUCAAUCUGGUUCAUACCUAAGAGAACAACUAAAGGCUGAAGCACACAGGCUAGCUGUCUGGGCAUUGGGGCUCUUCCAUAACAACCUACACCACAUAGCCUCAGAUUGGCUGCACAGCCACUAGCCCAGGAUCCCAGCCGAGGCCGGAACCAUAAGUCCUCCAAACCUUUUUCUACAUGGCCAGGACUCAGCCAGGAGUGCUACCUCAAAAUCCCAAGUCACAGCUGGAGAAGACCCAAGUCUGUCUGUCUCGUUUACUUUGGCUGAAAGCACAGAGCUAAGUACCACCCUGAACUGUUCCUCUGGUGUCACCAUAGAUUCCAGAAUGAAGGUACGUAGAAUGCAUCACCCUAUGAAAGAGGACGGGUCUGUGAGGGUGAGCUGCUCCUCGGGCAGGAGUGGUCAGCCAGGAGGAACCAGAGUGAGCUCCUAAAGUGAAGGCAUUGGUAUUGCUGACAGAGGUGAGGGCUUCUAAGAACCUCUCAGAAGAGUGAGAGUGGAGGUCAAGAGGACCAGACUGGUCAACCAUGCAUAUCUCUGGUUCUUCCUCUGUUCAGACCCAAGGUAGUCGAGGGGUAACAGGCUUGGUGCCUCUCCCUCCCUCAGUUCAUUCUUCCUCCUACCUUGGUCACAUUGAAUAAACUUCCUUUUAGCAUUUCCCCCCAUCACCAUUCCAGGUCUCUAACUGGUUUAUUGGGAUCAGGUGGCUGAGCUUUUCUAGCUUAGGACUUCAGGCUUCCAGGACAAAAACUCCAGUUACAGCCAUGAGAGGUUUCUUUAGUGUCACCCUUGAAAAGUCACACCCGAGGAAAAAAAAAAUGGAACCAUUGAACCAAGCUGCUUUGAUCCCCAAGCUGUAGCCAGAGGGGAAAUGACCUGAAGUUGGGCAACUUGUCCAGGUCCAUAGAGAAAAUUACUGAUUAACUGAGGACUCGUGAGAAAGCAAAAGGAAACAAACGUACUAGCGAUCUAGGCUCACUGGUGGUAGCUGGGGCUAGGACAGAAAGUGGGACAGACAAGUCUCCUGGGCAACGACAGCCUGACACGUGGGUUAGGAGAGUUGGUUCUUUCCUUCUACCAUUGCGAGCCCUGCAGCUUGAGCUCAGUCAGGUCAUCGGGCUUGGUUGGCAACAUCUUUACCUGCUGAGGCAUUUUUACUGUUCAUCCCCUUUCCCCCUUCAAUCCUCUUUACUAUAACAUCGAAAAGAGCAUGGUGUAGGUCAGGAUGCAGCUCAUUCAGUGGAGUACCUGUCCAGCACAUUCAAGGCCCUGGGUUUGAUCCCUCGCACUGCAUAAACCAGGCAUGAUAGUUACGUACACGCAAGCAAUCCCGGCACGUGGGAGCUGGAGGCUGGGGGACUAGGAAUUCAUCACCAGGCACACAAGUUCAAUGCCCGCUGGGGCUACACGGGACCCUGUCUCUAAAACAAUUUUAAUAACAGAGUCUGAGGAUUUUCUGUACCCCAUACAGUUUUGGUAUCUUCUGGGGUAAGUCUACUACUUGAAGGCUGUGGUCUUUAAAAAUGCCUUUUAGACUGGGUAUUCAGAUUAGUCUAGAUUACUCAUCUAGCAUCUGUAGGUUCUUGGGUUCCAUCCCUACCACCAAGAAAAGGUAAAUCUAGAAAACUCUCCUUUCCUUAUGGACUUCCCUUAGUCAGAAGGAGCAGCUCCCAAUUCUUCCCCGACGCAGCAGGAUACAGCACCCCUCUCUUGCCCCCACCCCUCACCCCCAGACACUUAGGUUUCUUCGAGAGCAGUUUUUUCUAACUCCUGACCCGCAGUCAUUGAUCCCUAGCUGAACAGGGCCCCAGGCGUCCAUCUGGCUGCCUCAGAAUCAGAAAUGGCCGACGUUUGAAUCCCGUCCAAGGCUACUUUGUGAAUGGCCCUAAGGUCUAGCAUCUCUCGGGGACCAGGAGUCCCGAGAUGGAAGCCCCACAGUUAUUUAGAAGCUGUGUGGUAAGCUGGGAAGGGCUGAAGUUAAAUCUACAGGUAAAGCCCUGCACAGUGGUCAAGUCUACCAUCCUACUGCGCGAUGAGAGGGAGAGACGAGAGAAUCCGUGAUAGCUCACGGACCAUCAGCAAAUAAAAGAGAGAGACCCUGUCUCAGACGGAAAAUGGGGGCAAAAGCAGCUGUGAGACAGCUCAGCAUGAUCAACUCAGCAUGCAACUCAGAUGAUCCGAGUUGCAUCCCGGAACCCCAACACGGAAGGAGAGAACCAAGUUCCACAAGAUGUCCUCUGACCUCCACAUGCAUACCAUGGCCUAGAGGGACAUACACAAUAAAUAAAUAAAUGUGAAUAAAAAUAUUUUAAAAA